UACGUAGGGGGCUAGCGUUGUCCGGAAUCAUUGGGCGUAAAGCGCGUGUAGGCGGUCCGGUAAGUCCGCUGUGAAAGUCGAGGGCUCAACCCUCGAAUGCCGGUGGAUACUGUCGGGCUUGAGUACGGGAGAGGCGAGUGGAAUUCCUGGUGUAGCGGUGAAAUGCGCAGAUAUCGGGAAGAACACCUAUGGCGAAGGCAGCUCUCUGGGACGGUACUGACGCUGAGACGCGAAAGCGUGGGGAGCGAACAGG
rnacentral:rRNA from 1 species